AAUGUGACAUGUGAGGGUGGGAAAGGAAUCGGAGCUUACCAAGCCCACUCCCUGUUAAGAUACUGGAACCACAAGAUGUCUUAUUUAUCAAUGCUCACAUGACCAUUAACAAAACACUGAAGAUAAAAAGAGGGAAGUGGGGCAUCCAUGCUUCAGUUCUCCUCCUGGGCCCCUACUCUUUCUGUGGCAUUCAACAGCAGGCAGGAUGAGAAGCCAGGGAAAAACCUCAUGACUGCCCUACAUUCGGAGAAGAUAAAAUGGAGGGCAUGCCCUAGAAGUGCAGAAUUUGAGUCCUGGGCAUCAACUCUUAUCCAACAAAAGCAGUUGCUUUCACAAAGGUACCAUCGUAAGGUCUGGGCUGGACCUCCUACUCAUCAGUAUCCUGCCCGUUGUGCAAGGACCAACUAACUCCCCGAAGGCUUCUUCCAGUGACAGCAUGCAUUGUAGCUCUGCAGCUAGAAAACUACUGACCAGCUCGAUGAUUUGGGGCUCAUCUCAUGAGUGUUCUCAUCUACAAAAUGAAUCCAGGGCUAUUCUCCUCACAGAGCAGUUCUGAGUGUUAAAGGCAGGAGUUCAAAUCCAGGGCUAAGACAGUGUCUGUCACCCUGUGAACCACGGACGUUGCGGGAAGUCUCCCCUGGCUGCUCCACUACCCUUGAUUACUCUUUCCCGAGCUGCCAGAGGGCCCUGGUGUGUAUUUGCACCAUUUGUGAGCUAUUUAAAUUACUUGCUAUUUCAUGAAUGCCCGCCUUUGAGAGUAGGAAUUAGGUCCACACAUACUUUUCUACCACUUGUAGCACUUAGCCUUUUGCUGAGCGUAGGGUAGACAUUUAACGAAUGAUUGAUUUGUUAACACAAGUCUGUUUUGCUUCAUGAACAAUGGAAGAGUCAAGUCAGAACACCCAAGCAUGCUAAUCAGGAGCUACUCCAUGGCCUACACGGAGGGAAAGCCACUCUUUCUUUGGCUUAUAUUUCAGUUUGCUGCGUGCAUCCAUUCAUUCUCUCACUAAACAUGUCUCACAUGCCUACCGGAUGCCAGGAAUCUGGGACAUGGUGAUGAGGAGCAAGUCAGCCAAGGUUUCCAGCUUCAGUGAAUUUCAAUCAUUGACCUGCUUGAAGUAUUUGCUCCUUUGAAAAAGAAACUAUCAAAGUACAUAAAAAUCUCCAUAACCUGAAAAGCUUGGUGGCACAUAAAUAAUAAUGUGCACCUUAUUAUGUUUACCUGUCAUCCGACUGGAAGCAGAGUUACCAAAUCGGAUGCUCUGUGCUACCUGUUGAGCUCAUUUCAUCUCCUAUACAGAAAGCAGCCAUGUGAGAA